GUAAAUUCCAGUCCCAUUCAUGACCAUUGCUCGAAUAACUAGAUACCGUAGAGACUUGGCCAGGAAGCCCUGAUAGCCCAAGAGCAACUUGCUCCUGUUCUUUGAGUUGAAUAAUGGGAGGUCUUAAAGUUGGAAUGAAGCAAUAAAUUAGAAUACUGUUGAAUUUGAGCACUUAUCUUUUUGUGGUGCCAGGGAUCAAACCCAGGGCUUCACACAUGCUCAGCAAAGGCUCUACCACUGAGCCACAUCUGCUGCCUGGUUCUUUUAUUUAUUAUGAUCUGUGGGUUUUAUAGAUUUAUGCAAACUAUUUAUACGUUAAAUAUAAUGACCCAUCAUAUAUACUGUUUAUAUUAGAUUUUAAAUUAGUUUAUUGUCUCAAUUUUACUUGUGGCACUUAGGGAAUUUUUUAAUUUUAUUUUUAUGUAGUCCUUACACAUUAGUAUUUGUUCUGACUGGGUGUCCUGUUCUAUAUGUUUUGUUAAAAUAUACUUAAUGUAAGAGAGUGAAAUAGAUAUUUUCACAUAGUAUUUGUGAGAAUAGAAUUGGUGUAACUUUUAGGAAAAAAAUUUCCAAUAUAUUUCAAAAGCCUGAAAAAUCAUGUUUAUAUUCUCUGACCUAGGAAUCCAUCCUAACGAAAAUAAUAAAUAAAUGGGAAAUAUUUGUACACUAAGAUGUUCAUUAUAGCAUUAUUUAUAAUAGUGAAAAUUGGAUAUAAU
rnacentral:lncRNA from 1 species